UUGGGCGUGCGCAUGUGUACAACCCCAGCACUGGAGAGGCAGCAGCCGCGGCAGGAAGAAAGGGAAGAUGGGAGCAGACGGAAAACUCAUCCCAAAGUCAGCCACCAAAAAGAAACUCAAGCCUAACAACUCAGGCUUAAAGAUGACGUCCAGUGCAGUCAUUGCCAGAGCUUUGGCUGUACGCAGAGUGUACAACUGAGCUUCUUGUGAUCCUAAAAGAUUCAAGACCUCACCAGUGAGGACAAGGCCCUGAGACAGAUCCCCAGCACCACCACCGGCACAAACAAAAAUCACCGCAAGAGAAAAAGAACCAAGGGAUCGCACAACCUAGUCAGCAAACUGCAGCUGCCUGGUACUCCGGGUCGGCCGACAAACACCGCUGCGGCCCGGCGUGGCUCACCUUGACCGGCGGCGGCGCAGCGACG